AUGGAAUAGGACCCUGUCCUCCUAUUUUCAGUUGGUUUUGGCAGCGCGAGGACUAGGGUAAUGAUUAAUAGGGAUAGUUGGGGGCAUUAAUAUUUAAUUGUCAGAGGUGAAAUUCUUGGAUUUAUGAAAGAUUAACUUCUGCGAAAGCAUCUGCCAAGGAUGUUUUCAUUAAUCAAGAACGAAAGGUAGGGGAUCGAAGACGAUCAGAUACCGUCGUAGUCUUAACCAUAAACGAUGCCGACCAGCGAUUAAGAGACGUUGAAUACAAAACACCACCAUCGGUUGCGGUCGUCCUUGGCGUCUCGGUUUCGGCCGGGGCGCGGGGACGGUUUAGCCCGGUGGCACCGGUGA
rnacentral:rRNA from 1 species